rnacentral:rRNA from 1 species
GAUGAACGCUAGCGGCAGGCCUAAUACAUGCAAGUCAAACGGUCCGCUUCGGCGGAUAGUGGCGCACGGGUGCGUAACACGUAUGCAACCUACCUUACAUUGGGGGAUAGCCUUUCGAAAGGGAGAUUAAUACCGCAUAAGACAGUAGCUGGGCAUCCAGUAGCUGUUAAAGAUUUAUCGAUGUAAGCUGGGCAUGCGUCCAAUUAGUUAGUUGGUGAGGUAACGGCUCACCAAGACGAUGAUUGGUAGGGGAACUGAGAGGUCAAUCCCCCACACUGACACUGAGAUACGGGCCAGACUCCUACGGGAGGCAGCAGUAGGGAAUAUUGGGCAAUGGACGCAAGUCUGACCCAGCCAUGCCGCGUGCAGGAAGAAGGCGUUCUGCGUUGUAAACUGCUUUUAUAUAGGAAGAAACGACCCUUGCGAGGGGCAUUGACGGUAUUAUAUGAAUAAGCACCGGCUAACUCCGUGCCAGCCGCCGCGGUAAAAC